UCCCGUGUAGCUCAGUUGGUAGAGCAUGGUGUUUGCAACGCCAGGGUUGCGGGUUCGAUUCCCAUGGGGG
rnacentral:tRNA from 1 species